UACGUAGGUGGCAAGCGUUGUCCGGAAUUACUGGGCGUAAAGAGCGCGCAGGCGGCUGGUCAAGUCCGAUGUGAAAGCUCCCGGCUUAACUGGGAAAUUGCAUCGGAAACUGAUCGGCUUGAAGGUGGGAGAGGGUAGUGGAAUUCCCGGUGUAGUGGUGAAAUGCGUAGAUAUCGGGAGGAACACCAGUGGCGAAGGCGACUACCUGGCCCACUCUUGACGCUGAGGCGCGAAAGCCAGGGGAGCAAACGGG
rnacentral:rRNA from 1 species